rnacentral:rRNA from 1 species
GAUGAACGCUGGCGGCGUGCCUAACACAUGCAAGUCGAGCGAAGCACUUUGCUUAGAUUCUUCGGAUGAAGAGGAUUGUGACUGAGCGGCGGACGGGUGAGUAACGCGUGGGUAACCUGCCUCAUACAGGGGGAUAACAGUUAGAAAUGACUGCUAAUACCGCAUAAGACCACAGCACCGCAUGGUGCGGGGGUAAAAACUCCGGUGGUAUGAGAUGGACCCGCGUCUGAUUAGCUAGUUGGUAAGGUAACGGCUUACCAAGGCGACGAUCAGUAGCCGACCUGAGAGGGUGACCGGCCACAUUGGGACUGAGACACGGCCCAAACUCCUACGGGAGGCAGCAGUGGGGAAUAUUGCACAAUGGGGGAAACCCUGAUGCAGCGACGCCGCGUGAGCGAAGAAGUAUUUCGGUAUGUAAAGCUCUAUCAGCAGGGAAGAAAAUGACGGUACCUGACUAAGAAGCACCGGCUAAAUACGUGCCAGCAGCCGCGGUAAUACGUAUGGUGCAAGCGUUAUCCGGAUUUACUGGGUGUAAAGGGAGCGUAGACGGAUGGGCAAGUCUGAUGUGAAAACCCGGGGCUCAACCCCGGGACUGCAUUGGAAACUGUUCAUCUAGAGUGCCGGAGAGGUAAGUGGAAUUCCUAGUGUAGCGGUGAAAUGCGUAGAUAUUAGGAGGAACACCAGUGGCGAAGGCGGCUUACUGGACAGUAACUGACGUUGAGGCUCGAAAGCGUGGGGAGCAAACAGGAUUAGAUACCCUGGUAGUCCACGCCGUAAACGAUGACUACUAGGUGUCGGGUGGCAAAGCCAUUCGGUGCCGCAGCAAACGCAAUAAGUAGUCCACCUGGGGAGUACGUUCGCAAGAAUGAAAUACAAAGGAAAAGACGGGGACCCGCCCCAGCGGUGGAGCAUGUGGUUUAAUUCGAAGCAACGCGAAGAACCUUACCUGCUCUUGACAUCCCGCUGACCGGACGAUAAUGCGUCCUUCCCUUCGGGGCAGCGGAGACAGGUGGUGCAUGGUUGUCGUCAGCUCGUGUCGUGAGAUGUUGGGUUAAGUCCCGCAACGAGCGCAACCCCUAUCUUUAGUAGCCAGCGGCCAGGCCGGGCACUCUAGAGAGACUGCCGGGGAUAACCCGGAGGAAGGUGGGGAUGACGUCAAAUCAUCAUGCCCCUUAUGAGCAGGGCUACACACGUGCUACAAUGGCGUAAACAAAGGGAAGCGAGACCGCGAGGUGGAGCAAAUCCCAAAAAUAACGUCUCAGUUCGGAUUGUAGUCUGCAACUCGACUACAUGAAGCUGGAAUCGCUAGUAAUCGCGAAUCAGAAUGUCGC